AGUGAACGCUGGCGGUAGGCCUAACACAUGCAAGUCGAACGGCAGCACAGUAAGAGCUUGCUCUUACGGGUGGCGAGUGGCGGACGGGUGAGGAAUACAUCGGAAUCUACUUUUUCGUGGGGGAUAACGUAGGGAAACUUACGCUAAUACCGCAUACGACCUACGGGUGAAAGCAGGGGAUCUUCGGACCUUGCGCGAUUGAAUGAGCCGAGGUCGGAUUAGCUAGUUGGCGGGGUAAAGGCCCACCAAGGCGACGAUCGGUAGCUGGUCUGAGAGGAUGAUCAGCCACACUGGAACUGAGACACGGUCCAGACUCCUACGGGAGGCAGCAGUGGGGAAUAUUGGACAAUGGGCGCAAGCCUGAUCCAGCCAUACCGUGUGGGUGAAGAAGGCCUUCGGGUUGUAAAGCCCUUUUGUUGGGAAAGAAAAGCAGCAGGUUAAUACCCCGCUGUUCUGACGGUACCCAAAGAAUAAGCACCGGCUAACUUCGUG
rnacentral:rRNA from 1 species